AGUACCCCAUGCCAGAGAGCAGGAGCCACAACUACAUGUAUCAGCUCUGCAAGUCUCUGGACCACAUACACAGUCAUGGGCUCUUCCACCAGGCUGUAAAACCAGAGAACAUUCUGAUUAAGAAGGACACUCUGAAGCUGGGGGACUUUGGCUCGUGUUAGAGUGUUUACUCCCGCCCUACACAGAGUACAUCUCUACACGUUGGUACAGAACCCCAGAGUGCCUCAUAACUGACGGACACAGCUCUCACAAGAUGGACGUCUGGAGCGUGUCUUCUACAAGAUCAUCAGCCCAGAGGGGAGUCCCAUCGCCAGGCCAUCGACAGCUGUACCAUCCCCCCCAUAGGACCAGUGGAGGGGGACACAGAGACCCAAAACAGACUGCUCACUACUCCCAGGCCCAUAAUGCUGGUGGUGUGGGAGGUGAAGACACAAUGUGGUUUAAUACAGGUUCCAAUAAACGCUCAGUUCAGCUCUUUUAGAGCCACAGCUAAACUACUAAA